rnacentral:lncRNA from 1 species
CUCCCCUCCAUCCAAAAUACUAUAGCAACUCUAUAUAAAUAGCUAUUGGCGGCGAUGAAUAGUAAGUCGUUCUGCAUGUUUGUUUGAUUUUUUGGCAUUUUAUUUUUUGAUAUUGCUGUCAAACUUUUUCUACAAGCAGUGCUCGAAGAUAUGGAAUGUUAGAUUAUAAGCUCGUUUAUUGUUAUUUAUUGAAAGGUUAUGUCUUUUCAUAAGGUUGUAUCUUUUAGAAAAGAGAUGUGCCUCUUCAUAAGGUUGCAUUUUUAGAUUAGAGAUGUCUCUUUGUAAGGUUGUGUCAUUUAGAUUAGAGAUAUAUUUUUUAUGAAGUAGGAUGUUUCUUUGUCAGGAUGUAUCUCUUAAUAAGUAAUUUUUUGUAAAAAGUUGUGUCCCUCCAUUUCU